UGAGAGAUACUAGAAAUGGGGGAUCUCUCUGGUUCUUCUCCCAGGCAAGAUCUGGGGCUCCCUGGCAGACCUCAUACAACUGGAAUGGAGACUACAUGGGCCUGCUACCCCUGGUGCCUCUCAAGGUUCCGGAUGAAGACCACAUCCAAGGUGUCUCCCAAGCUGACUGUAAUAUUCCAGAUGGAUACGCAAAUGCAGAAGACCCUCAGCAGUAAACAAAAAGAAUUACAGUUUCUGGAUGCACAUAAGAUUUUUUCAAACUACCAUGUGGGCCAUCAUUCCUGCAAUGUGAGUAUCAGGGUAGGUGUCU
rnacentral:lncRNA from 1 species